AUUGAACGCUGGCGGCAGGCCUAACACAUGCAAGUCGAGCGGAUGACGGGAGCUUGCUCCUUGAUUCAGCGGCGGACGGGUGAGUAAUGCCUAGGAAUCUGCCUGGUAGUGGGGGACAACGUUUCGAAAGGAACGCUAAUACCGCAUACGUCCUACGGGAGAAAGCAGGGGAACUUCGGGCGUUGCGAUAUCCGAUGUGCCUAGGUCGGAUUAGCUAGUUGGUGGGGUAAUGGCUCACCAACGCGACGAUCCGUAAAGGGUCUGAGAGGAUGAUCAGUCACACUGGAACUGAUACACGGUCCAGACUCCUACGGGAGGCAGCAGUGGGGAAUAUUGGACAAUGGGCGAAAGCCUGAUCCAGCCAUGCCGCGUGUGUGAAGAAGGUCUUCGGAUUGUAAAGCACUUUAAGUUGGGAGGAAGGGCAGUAAGUUAAUACCUUGCUGUUUUGACGUUACCGACAGAAUAAGCACCGACUAACUCUGUGCCAGCCGCCGCCGUAA
rnacentral:rRNA from 1 species